rnacentral:rRNA from 1 species
AUUGAACGCUGGCGGCAGGCCUAACACAUGCAAGUCGAGCGGAUGAAGGGAGCUUGCUCCUGGAUUCAGCGGCGGACGGGUGAGUAAUGCCUAGGAAUCUGCCUGGUAGUGGGGGAUAACGUCCGGAAACGGGCGCUAAUACCGAAUACGUCCUGAGGGGGAAAGUGGGGGAUCUUCGGACCUCACGCUAUCAGAUGAGCCUAGGUCGGAUUAGCUAGUUGGUGGGGUAAAGGCCUACCAAGGCGACGAUCCGUAACUGGUCUGAGAGGAUGAUCAGUCACACUGGAACUGAGACACGGUCCAGACUCCUACGGGAGGCAGCAGUGGGGAAUAUUGGACAAUGGGCGAAAGCCUGAUCCAGCCAUGCCGCGUGUGUGAAGAAGGUCUUCGGAUUGUAAAGCACUUUAAGUUGGGAGGAAGGGCAGUAAGUUAAUACCUUGCUGUUUUGACGUUACCAACAGAAUAAGCACCGGCUAACUUCGUG